GGAAGGAUCAUUCACACAGUCACUUCGGUGGCGUCCGAGAAUAGACAGCUUACAUGUAGCUUUGGCAGCUGUUUCGAAAGAUCAGUGAGCCUGGUGAGAGUGAGCCCAUGAAACAACCUCCGGGGCGCUGUCUGAUAAGUCACGCAAGUGAUGACGCAGGGAGUAUACCGAAGAAACGCGAGUAGCCCCUGACUGCGGCUUGCCGCUUUCAGCUUCGGGUGAAAGAUGUUUUUCACUGCCAAGCGAAGUACCCAGUCGGGUUGUUGUAGUUCGCGCUGCUUCAACCUCUGGCGAGAGCUUGACGACAAACAAUUUGAGUCCCUUAACGAUGGAUGCCUCGGCUCGUGAAGCGAUGAAGGACGCAGCUAGGUGCGAUAAGCACUGUGAAUUGCAGAAUUCCGCGAACCAGUAGAUAUCCGAACGCAUUCUGCACGAAUUGGGUUUACUCUAUUCGUAGGGAUGUGUCAGUGUUGAUUCUCAUUGAACCGCGAGCCCGUUUACGGCCACUCGUGUAGUGGUUCCGCAAGGAGCCGAAUUUGUGCGCAAGCCUGCGUUAACAGCGCGUUGGUAUCGCAUUCAUUUCAGAUUCACUUAGCUGAUAUGGCUGUGCGUUGUUGCUCUUCGGAUGCGGCAAAGGCACUUUAUUGUCUAGAAGGUUAGCCUAAUAGCAAUUUUGUGUCGAGCCAUUAGUAUUUGGAGUUGCGCGAUGCGGGCCUCAGCCACUUUCUAUUACAACCUGACACCUCUCAGACAACCCGCUGAACUUAAGCAUAUCAGUAAGCGGAGGAAAAGAAACUAACCAGGAUUCCCCUAGUAAUGGCGAAUGAACAGGGAGGAGCUCAGUGCCAAAUCAUGUGCUUGUCGCAUGACGUGUGGCUUGCGCGGUUUGCCAGUGGUGCGUCCGGACAAAGUCUCUUGGAAUAGAGCGCCAGGGAGGGUGACAGCCCCGUCCAUGUCUGGAAACGUGUCACGUACGGCUUUCUGCGAAAAGAGUCGCGUUCUUUGGGAUUGGAGCGCAAAAGGGAGGUAAUUUCCUUCCAAGGCUAAAUAUGACCACGAGACCGAUAGAGAACAAGUACCGUGAGGGAAAGGUCAAAAGAACUUUGAAAAGAGGGUUAAAAGUGCCUGAAAUCGUUAAGGGGGAAGCGAAUGUUGCUGUUGAAUACGUCUCUGCACGGAUUGCUGAGUUUGGAGUAGGUCACUUGCGUUGGAGUCAGGGCACAACCCCGGCUGCUGCGUUCGUUGGCAGGCUGCUACUUGGUGUCUCCGCGUUGAGUCUAGCAACGCCGGUUUUUCCGUCGGUGGCAAAACCAGCUCUCGGAGGGGUCGGGCUGCGGCUCUUCCCCCCGUUGUUGGGAAUCCCGUGGAGGAACCGUCAAUAAGGGUGGGGUCUUCCGGUAGUUUGCCGUGAUCUGCCAGUGAUGACUCGUUGAAUCUUUUAACGAGGCGUUGUUGGCUGGGUCUCGAGUUGCUGCCGUUGCCUUGCUCGAGCGUUGCGACCAACGGCAAUAUUUGUCCCGUCUUGAAACACGGACCAAGGAGUCUAACGUGUAUGCGAGUAUGUGGGUGACAAACCUACGUGCGAAAUGAAAGUGACUCGUAGUGAGUGUGCGUUCGCGUACACGCAGCUAUGGCCGACCUUGAUCUUCGGUGACAGGUUUGAGUAUGAGCAUACCCGUUAGGACCCGAAAGAUGGUGAACUAUGCCUGAGUAGGCCGAAGCCAGGGGAAACUCUGGUGGAAGGUCGUAGCGAUACUGACGUGCAAAUCGUUCGUCAAACUUGGGUAUAGGGGCGAAAGACUAAUCGAACCAUCUAGUAGCUGGUUCCCUC
rnacentral:misc_RNA from 1 species